AGUGGUGGGGGUUGACGUGGUUUUCGCAGGUCUUGGUGAGGUCGAGAAUAAUGUGGGGGUCCAGGUGACGCGGAGAUGACCCUCAGGGUAUCGGGAGAGGUUAGGAAGACCUCCGCACUGCCGACUUUAAUGGCGGUCUUCAAAAGCCAUUACGCCGUCCGCCGCCGAGCCGCUGUCCGGGGCUGUCUUCCUCCGUCUCCGGGCCGCCAACCGCACCGAUGAUCGAGGUGAAGUCCUCCAUUGUGCCGCCGACCGCUGGAACGCAGAUCAACCUACAGCUCCCAGACACAUGCAGCCAUUUUGCAGUAGGAUACAUCAUGUCCAAGAUCACUCUGGGUCAAGCCUGCCCGAAAAGCAAUGACUGCCCUCAAUGUGAAGUCCUGUCCAUGGAGCACCAUGUUGGAGGGGAAUUCAUACAAGGAAAAUCCUCCCUGGUGGACACGCCUUUGGGCUGGAGUUGCUGAACAAUGGCUGCCAAGUGGAUGCAGGGUCAAUGGCAGCAUCAUCUUUUUUUUUUUUUUGCAGAAAAAAUCCACAUAUUUCCUUUGAUGAAGGUAAGAUGGCAAGCAGUAAAACGAUCCACCCUUAUAGGUAAGUUUUCGUGUUUGAAAAUACCUUGUUUCAUAUUUUUGAACUUCAACUUCGGCUGAACUCGCUGUGACGCGGGUGCUGUGAAAUAGUGGCACCAUUAUUCCUGUCUAAAGUGGUAUGUAAUUUACAAGUUUUAUUAUAUGGGGAAUAAUCUCAGGGAGGACGUAAAUGUUAUCGCAAUCACCAUCAGCCAUUGCCAGUGACCUGCUCUCCUCACAUAUUUCAGUUACUCACUGUCGGACGUCAGUCUAGAUCUGAACACAUGCAUCCACUUAUUCCUGUUCUUCAACAUUGUCAUCUGGAAUAGCGACGCACUUUUAUGUAAUUUGUGCUCCCAGGUAAUUCUUCCAUCUUUCUGAUGAGAAAGUGACUCCAGAACUAUCAUUAUCUUCGGCUUCACUUCGCACCACAAUAGUGAUAACACACAAUAGUUAUUUUGCAUGCUCCACAGACCAAAGAUCUGUAUUUUUCUUCAGGCAAUCCCAGUUGCAAAUCAUCUUGGUGCAGUGUGCAACAUCAACCCUUAAAUUAUGAGGUGGUAGUUUUGCAUCUGGUUUAUCAAGAAAAAUGUUAAAGCAUUCAUCUAUGUAACUUUUCAAGUCAGGAGAAGGAGUAAACACCUUCACAAGAGCUCCUAAAAUGGCCAGAGAAACAUCACUCACAAUUUCUUUUGGAACAGGUGCACCUGUACAAAUCCAUUCGGUCAGCCAAUGUGCGAUGGCAUUAACAUCAUGUAUCUCCGACAACAUUUGCACCACUGGGAGACUGCUGUGCCGUGUCAGAACAUGCUGAUACAGGAAGAUAUGACCAGGUGAGCCAUUUGGCCUUGUCAGUUUUCCUACAACUGAGCCAGUUGUAUCAAAACAUACUGUCUGGACAGCUUUCUUUAUGAAGGUAUUGCUCACAUGCAUUUUUGUUUGACUCCAGUAGUGACAGAAAAACGUGUCCAGUCCAAUAUCUCUGAUGCGACCACCAUCCGGUGAAUUGUAUUUUAACAACUGCAAGAAAUAAUCGGAUUUUUGUCACCUAAUUUCAAAUCAUUCAUUUGUUUUUUGCGUCGCGCAGGGUGGCUGAAUUGGGCAGAUGAGUUGGCUCUGGAUUCCCAAAGUCCAUAAGUGUGCCUGUAAUGCCCUCCAGACAUUGGGUUGCAUCCUGCCCUCCCUGCACUAAGUGAGAAGGUGUUUAUUUAUAUUGAACAAAUAACAGCGCUAAUAUGAUAGGCUGUGAUUUAGUACUUGACGUGCUAGCGUUACUGCUGCUGGGAUGAGAUUGGAGCGGUUAAAAGAUGCGACUUUCAUCUUUAAUUACUGGAUGCGAUGUGUUCAAAUGUUUCAGCAUAUUACUUAACUGUCCCCCUCUAGAUGAAAGUAGCAGCCUUUUAAUUAUUACAAGUAGUGCUAAUACAAUCUUUUCUUGUAAAAUGCUAGUGUUUGGUCCACCCGGGCACUGCCAUUUUUUUAAUCUCUUACGUCACUGCUCACUUUGUGUAAUGAUGUCAUCCCCACCCGGAAUAAUUGUUAAAAGGAACCGUUUGAAAAAUGGUAAGCACAUUUACGUAAUUGAUACUGGGAACCAGUUCUGAACAAGAACCUGUGAUUGAUUCUCAUCCCUACCAUGAUUCCUACCUUAUCUUGAGGUUCCUUAAACCAAGUAGUAAAUUUGCAAUGGCGCUGUCUUUUUUUAUUGGAAUCUCUAAUUCAACCUUAUUGUGGUCUAUGUUGACAAAACAGUUCUGUUGACAUUUUGGCAUUGUUUAACAGUAUCCAAUGAAGUAUCCAACAUUGUGACAGCAUUUAUAAGUCAUAUGAAAAUCAUCACAGAUUUCUUUUAAACAAAAUCAAAAAAUACCAGUUAGUUUCUUUGGCAUCAUAUCGCCACGGAUCAUAAUCAAGUUCCAGUUUAAAGAGCAACGUCAAUGUCACAAUAUAACAAAAUCAUAGUGAAUCUGCACAGCUACAGUACUUUUGGUGGCCUUUGAUCUUUAGGGGGAAGACCGAGGCUGAAGUUCAGAAUUAAUGAAGUACAGUAAACAUCCUCCACCCUGCGAUUUGUACUGAAAUAGUAAAACGUGAUAUAAAGCAGUGCCUAAAUGUACAGUGCAUCUAAACACAGCCAGGACAUAAAGGGACACUUUUGCAAGAUACCGAUUCCACAUUACUAUUUGUAUUAUCAUCUUUUUUUUUUAUUUGGGUUGAUCCAAGGUGUACAAUGCCUUCUGCCUGAGUGAAGCUGGGAAGGCUCUAGCCUUUCCGCAACCCUGGGAGGGACAAGCGGGAGAAAAAUGGAUGGAUGGACAUACAUUUUGUUCAAAAUAGAUAUGUAUUUAUGUGAAAUAUACCAGAGGGAAAGGGAUUCAUCUGGCGCCAUUCCUGGGUGAAUCUAGCAUGAGAAGAAGGUGGGGUGUUAAUCAUUUUGCAAUGCAGUCUGCUGAAAAUGAUGGAAAGCACCACUGUAAAUAGCAAAUAACGGCAUGGUCAAAGUUGGAAUUGGCACAAAAAACAUUAUAAGAUAUUCAACUAAAGUAGGUAGUUCACUCCCCAAAUCAUCACGUUUCAGGUGUCAGGUAAACCCUGACGAAUGGGGCCUUAUGAAUCCCCUUCUUACUGUAUACUGUUUUUUUUAUUUAUUAGUUCUUCUGGUUGGACUGUUUACUGUGGCACAUAUUAGCGUUGCACAGUUAUGGCAAAUGGGUUAUACUUGUAUCGUGCUUUUCUACCUUCAAGGUACUCAAAGCGCUUUGACACUUUUUCCACAUUCACCCAUUCACACACUGAUGGCGGGAGUUGCCAUGCAAGGCCCUAACCACAACCCAUCAGGAGCAAGGAUGAAGUCUCCUGCUCAAGGACACAGCGGACAUGACAAGGUUAGUAGAAGGUGGGGAUCGAACCAGGAACCCUCAGGUUUCUGGCACGGCCACUCUCCCAACGGUCCCCCAGUUAAAAAAAGUGUCCCCUAAUUAGGACUUUUACUGUAUGUGCUAUUAUUUCUUUUGUCUCCUUGUGUCAUUGGUAGACAGGUAUAUCAUUUGUAAGAUUAUAAAUUCCUCACAUGGACUGACUUUCAUGACAUGACAGAAUUCGGCAGCAAUGUCCCUGGCUUUCUCCUGCCGAACAUAAUUAUCCAAGUUUUCGACAGCCUGUCAUUUGCUUCCAUUAAUAUAACAUGGAGCUAAGUAAACAUAUCAUUUUGUUGCAUCUUCUAAGAUGAUGCAUUAGUGCACCAAUAUUUACCCAUACUGCAUUUUAAUGAUUUGUUUUCAGCACUUUGUAACCAUCAUUCAUCCUAUUAUUCAGGAUUGAUUUAGCGGUUUCAUGUCAACAGUCCUUUUUCUUUCUCAACAAUAUUGCUCGGAUUUAUAACACUCUUGAAAAUGUGCAUCUGGGAAAGAAAUAAGCUUCGCAAAGUGAAUACAUGAAUACUGAUGCACUAGUUGAUCUAUAUCUGUUUUUAACUGUGAUAAAGAAUACUGUUUCAAAAACACUUUUUUACAUUUUAAUCUUGUUUGUUGUUUUUUGUUUGCCAUGAUUAAUC